rnacentral:rRNA from 1 species
UCCAGACUCCUACGGGAGGCAGCAGUGAGGAAUAUUGGUCAAUGGGCGGAAGCCUGAACCAGCCAAGUCGCGUGAGGGAAUAAGGCCCUACGGGUCGUAAACCUCUUUUGCCGGGGAGCAAGGGCGGGGACGUGUCCCGGCCCGGAGAGUACCCGGAGAAAAAGCAUCGGCUAACUCCGUGCCAGCAGCCGCGGUAAUACGGAGGAUGCGAGCGUUAUCCGGAUUUAUUGGGUUUAAAGGGUGCGUAGGCGGGCUUUUAAGUCAGCGGUAAAAAUUCGGGGCUCAACCCCGUCCGGCCGUUGAAACUGGUGGCCUUGAGUGGGCGAGAAGAAGGCGGAAUGCGUGGUGUAGCGGUGAAAUGCAUAGAUAUCACGCAGAACCCCGAUUGCGAAGGCAGCAUACCGGUGCACAACUGACGCUCAGGCACGAAAGCGUGUGUAUCGAACAGGAUUAGAUACCCCAGUA